rnacentral:rRNA from 1 species
AACGUCCGUAGCCGGUCUUGUAAAUCCUUGGGUAAAUCGACCAGCUUAACUGUUCGAAGUCCGGGGAGACUGCAAGACUUGGGAUCGGGAGAGGUGAGAGGUACUUCUGGGGUAGGGGUAAAAUCCUGUAAUCCUUUAAGGACCACCGGUGGCGAAGGCGUCUCACUAGAACGAAUCCGACGGUGAGGGACGAAGCCCUGGGGCGCAAACGGGAUUAGAUACCCCGGUAGUCCAGGGUGUAAACGCUGCGGGCUUGGUGUUGGGGGUCCUUUGAGGGCGCCCAGUGCCGGAGAGAAGUUGUUAAGCCUGCUGCUUGGGGAGUACGUCCGCAAGGAUGAAACUUAAAGGAAUUGGCGGGGGAGCACCGCAACGGGAGGAGCGUGCGGUUUAAUUGGAUUCAACACCGGAAAACUCACCAGGAGCGACGGUUACAUGAAAGUCAGGCUGAUGACCUUACUCGAUUUUCCGAGAGGUGGUGCAUGGCCGUCGUCAGUUCGUACCGUAAGGCGUUCUCUUAAGUGAGAUUACGAACGAGACCCUCACUAAUAGUUGCUACUCCAUCCUCCGGGGUGGAGGCACACUAUUGGGACCGCUGGCGCUA